CCAGCUUGCUGGGCGGAUUAGUGGCGAACGGGUGAGUAAUACGUGAGUAACCUGCCUUUAACUCUGGGAUAAGCCUUGGAAACGGGGUCUAAUACCGGAUACGACCAACCCUCGCAUGAGGUGUUGGUGGAAAGGGAUUUUGUACUGGUUUUAGAUGGGCUCACGGCCUAUCAGCUUGUUGGUGAGGUAACGGCUCACCAAGGCGACGACGGGUAGCCGGCCUGAGAGGGUGACCGGCCACACUGGGACUGAGACACGGCCCAGACUCCUACGGGAGGCAGCAGUGGGGAAUAUUGCACAAUGGGCGCAAGCCUGAUGCAGCGACGCCGCGUGAGGGAUGACGGCCUUCGGGUUGUAAACCUCUUUCAGCAGGGGAGAAGCGAAAGUGACGGUACCUGCAGAAGAAGCGCCGGCUAACUACGUGCCAGCAGCCGCGGUAAUACGUAGGGCGCGAGCGUUGUCCGGAAUUAUUGGGCGUAAAGAGCUUGUAGGCGGUUUGUCGCGUCUGCUGUGAAAGCCCGGGGCUUAACCCCGGGUUUGCAGUGGGUACGGGCAGACUAGAGUGCAGUAGGGGAGACUGGAAUUCCUGGUGUAGCGGUGAAAUGCGCAGAUAUCAGGAGGAACACCAAUGGCGAAGGCAGGUCUCUGGGCUGUAACUGACGCUGAGAAGCGAAAGCAUGGGGAGCAAACAGGAUUAGAUACCCUGGUAGUCCAUGCCGUAAACGUUGGCACUAGGUGUGGGGAAAUUCCACGUUUCCGCGCCGUAGCUAACCAUUAAGUGCCCGCCUGGGGAGUACGGCCGCAGGGCUAUACUCAAAAAAUUGACGGGGGCCGCACAACGGCGGAGCUGCGGAUUAUUCGAUGCACGCGAAGACCUUACCAGGCUUGACUAUACUAGACGCCUCAGAGAUGGGGUUCCCUCCGGGCUGGAUACGGUGGUGCAUGGUGUCUCAGCUCUGUCUUGAAAGUUGGGUUAAUCCCGCACCAGCGCAACCUCGUUUAUUUUCCA
rnacentral:rRNA from 1 species